rnacentral:rRNA from 1 species
UACGUAGGGGGCUAGCGUUGUCCGGAAUCAUUGGGCGUAAAGCGCGUGUAGGCGGUUCGGUAAGUCCGCUGUGAAAGUCGGGGGCUCAACCCUCGAAUGCCGGUGGAUACUGUCGGACUAGAGUACGGAAGAGGCGAGUGGAAUUCCUGGUGUAGCGGUGGAAUGCGCAGAUAUCAGGAGGAACACCCAUAGCGAAGGCAGCUUGCUGGGACGUUACUGACGCUAAGGCGCGAAAGCGUGGGGAGCGAACAGG